GACGAACGCUGGCGGCGUGCUUAACACAUGCAAGUCGAACGGAAAGGCCCUGCUUUUGUGGGGUGCUCGAGUGGCGAACGGGUGAGUAACACGUGAGUAACCUGCCCUUGACUUUGGGAUAACUUCAGGAAACUGGGGCUAAUACCGGAUAGGAGCUCCUGCUGCAUGGUGGGGGUUGGAAAGUUUCGGCGGUUGGGGAUGGACUCGCGGCUUAUCAGCUUGUUGGUGGGGUAGUGGCUUACCAAGGCUUUGACGGGUAGCCGGCCUGAGAGGGUGACCGGCCACAGUGGGACGGAGAUACGGCCCGGACUGCUACGGGAGGCAGCAGUGGGGAAUAUUGCACAAUGGGCGGAAGCCUGAUGCAGCAACGCCGCGUGCGGGAUGACGGCCUUCGGGUUGUAAACCGCUUUCGCCUGUGACGAAGCGUGAGUGACGGUAAUGGGUAAAGAAGCACCGGCUAACUACGUG
rnacentral:rRNA from 1 species